UACGAGGGGUGCAAGCGUUAUCCGGAUUUACUGGGUGUAAAGGGAGCGCAGACGGCAGUACAAGUCUGGUGUGAAAGCCCGGGGCUCAACCCCGGAACUGCAUUGGAAACUGUACAGCUCGAGUGUCGGAGGGGUAAGCGGAAUUCCUAGUGUAGCGGUGAAAUGCGUAGAUAUUAGGAGGAACACCGGUGGCGAAGGCGGCUUACUGGACGACUACUGACGUUGAGGCUCGAAAGCGUGGGGAGCAAAC
rnacentral:rRNA from 1 species